GGGUCAGUAGGUUGGUCGUGCCACCGGUACGUACUGGUCUCACUGAUUCCUCCUUCCUGAAGAGCCGUAAUGCCAUUAAUCUGGUGUUGCGGGGAAACAGGACUGUUACUUUGAAAAAAUUAGAGUGUUUAAAGCAAGCUAACGCUUGAAUACAUUAGCAUGGAAUAAUGAAAUAGGACGAUCGAUCCUAUUUUGUUGGUUUCUAGGAUUGACGUA
rnacentral:rRNA from 1 species